CUUAUAAUAAAUUAUAGUUUUUCGUUUUUUACAUAGAAUAAAUUAGUUAUUAAUAUAUGUUAAUAAUAAGUUAUAUUAUUAAUAUUAGUUUCUAUACUUUUAAUUAAUAUAAAUAUUAAAAGUAUGAUAAAUAUGGAUAAUCAGGUGUAAUUAAUUAAAGUGAUUAUUAAGAAUGCCUAGCAAACAUUUAUUAAAGGAGGUUUACAACCAAAAGCUAUAUUAUACGACAAAUAUGUAGCGAUCCUAGGGAAAACCUAAAAAUAUUUUACGCAGUGAAUUGAAACAUCUUAGUAACUGUAGGAAAGGAAAUCAACAGAGACUCUAUUAGUAGUGGUGAGCGAAAAUAGAUUAGCCUAUAAAUUAUUAUUAUAUUAUAGAAAAUAUUGGAAUAUAUUCAAAAAAGGUAAUAGGCCUGUAUAUAAUAUAAUGCAAUAAAAUCAAUUAGAGUGGAAGAUAAUCUGCUUGAAUAUUGGGGAACCAUCCUCAAAGGCUAAGUAUAAAUGUUUAGCGAUAGUGAAGUAGUAACGUGAGUGAACGGUGAAAUAGUAAGUAGUUAACUAGUGAAAAAGAUCUGAAUUAGUAAUCAUAUAAGCAAUUAGAGCUAUUUCUUUAGAUUAUUAUCUUUAGUAAUUGUGAUAAUGUACCUUUUGUAUAAUGGGUUAGCGAGUUAAUAGUAGUAGCAAGGUUAUAAACCCUAGUGAAAGCGAUUAAUGCUAUAUAACUAUUAGUACGCUUGUAAAAAGCUGCUUUUAAGUGUUAGUAUGUAAUAUAGUUACUAUUAUUAGACCCGAAACACGGUGAUCUAUCCAUAGCCAGACUUAAUUAGGUCGAAUGGGUUAAUGUUGCAGUAUUAUCCAAUGAGCUGUGGAUUGUCGGUGAAAGGCCAAUCUGACCGUGAUAUAGCUGGUACUCCUCGAAACAUAUUUUAGUAUGACUUCUUAAAUUAGAUUUACGCGGGUACAGCAAUGACCGCCAUGUGUCAGUCCUUAGGGGCUAUGCACGAAAUAUGGGGGGUUGACAAGACUUUACCGUUGGUGUGUUAAACUCGGAAAUCAACAUAAAUCGAUAAAAGAAUUUCAGACUACUCAUGAUAAGGUGGGUGGUCGAGACGGAAACAGCCGUGAACAUAGAAUAAGGUCCCAAAAUAAUGGUUAAGUGAAAUAAAGGCAGUUAUGGUUCAUAUACAACUAUAAAGUUAGCUUGGAAGUUGCUAUCUUUUAAUGAAAGUGUAACAACUUAGUAGUCUAUUGAAACUUAGCGCCGAAAAUUAACGGGUCUAGAUUAUUUACCGAAACUAUGUCGAUAUUGUUUAUAAAUAAUAUUAGGGUAGAGGAGCAUUCAGUAUGAGUGAAGAAUAGUCUUUGAUUAUUUGGACAUUACUGAAGAGAAUAUGCUAACAUGAGUAACGUAGAAAGAAGAUAUAAUUCUUCUCGCCGGAUGCGAAAGGGUUUCUAAGAACUGUUAACCAGCUUAGAUUGAAAACGGUCUCUAAGAUAAUUGUAUUAACAUAAUAGUUAUUAUCGAUGAGUUUAUAAUAGAACGAAACCAGGAAAAUAAUAUUAUUCAUUACCGUACCCUAAACUAACACAAGUUCGCUGGUAGAGUAUACUAAGGCGUAGAGAUAAUACUGUAUAAGGAACUCGGCAAAAUGCAUCCGUACACUAGAUAAUAAGGAUGACCCCUAGAGGGUAUCAUAGAAUCGUGAAGCACAACUGUUUACCAAAAACACAGAUAUCUGCUAUGUAAAAAACAUUGUAUAGGUGUCGAAUCUUGUCCGAUGUCAUAAGUAUAAUUAGAGGUACUGAGAGGUAUUUCGAAAAGCUUUGAUCAAUGACAGUCUUAACUAUAAGGAUUUUAACAGUAGCGAAAUUCCUUGGCCGUUAAAUGCGGUCCUGCAUGAAUAGAGUAAUGAUGCUUCAGCUGUCUCAUACAGUAUCUCAGUGAAAUUGAAUUAGCCGUGAAGAUGCGGUUUAGGUGUGGGUAGACGGGAAGACCCUAUGCAGCUUUACUAUACCCUGUCAUGAGCCUGGUCGUUACUAUUAACAGAUAAAUACGGAGGUAUUCGAAGACCCUUAAUUACAUAUAUACUAUGAUUAUUAAGGAUAGAUAAUUAUGGAAAACUCUCAAUAGCCGGCCAGAUUGUUGUUUUUAAUAGAAUGAUAAUGACAGGUU
rnacentral:rRNA from 1 species